UACGGGGGGGGCAAGCGUUGUUCGGAAUUACUGGGCGUAAAGGGCUCGUAGGCGGCCAACUAAGUCAGACGUGAAAUCCCUCGGCUUAACCGGGGGAACUGCGUCUGAUACUGGAUGGCUUGAAUCCGGGAGAGGGAUGCGGAAUUCCAGGUGUAGGAGUGAAAUCCGUAGAUAUCUGGAGGAACAUCGGAGGCGAAGGCGGCCAACUGGUGAUGCAUUGACACUAAGGUGCGAAAGCGUGGGGGAGCAAACAGG
rnacentral:rRNA from 1 species